UGGGGAAUAUUGCACAAUGGGGGAAACCCUGAUGCAGCGACGCCGCGUGAGCGAAGAAGGUUUUCGAAUCGUAAAGCUCUGUCCUAUGGGAAGAUAAUGACGGUACCAUAGGAGGAAGCCCCGGCUAACUACGUGCCAGCAGCCGCGGUAAUACGUAGGGGGCAAGCGUUGUCCGGAAUCACUGGGCGUAAAGGGUUCGCAGGCGGAAAUGCAAGUCAGUUGUGAAAGGCAGAGGCUCAACCUCUGUAAGCAAUUGAAACUGAAUUUCUUGAGAUGUGGAGAGGCAAGUGGAAUUCCUAGUGUAGCGGUGAAAUGCGUAGAUAUUAGGAAGAAUACCGGUGGCGAAGGCGACUUGCUGGACACAAACUGACGCUGAGGAACGAAAGCGUGGGUAGCAAACAGG
rnacentral:rRNA from 1 species